rnacentral:rRNA from 1 species
GUCUACAGCCAUGCCACCCUGAACAAGCCCAAUCCCGUCUGAUCUCGGAAGCUAAGCAGGGUUGGACCUGGUUAGUACUUGGAUGGGAGACCACCUAGGAAGACCAGGUGCUGUAGGCU